rnacentral:rRNA from 1 species
UGGGGAAUAUUGGACAAUGGGGGCAACCCUGAUCCAGCCAUGCCGCGUGAGUGAUGAAGGCCUUCGGGUUGUAAAGCUCUUUUGGCGGGGACGAUGAUGACGGUACCCGCAGAAUAAGCCCCGGCUAACUUCGUGCCAGCAGCCGCGGUAAGACGAAGGGGGCUAGCGUUGUUCGGAAUUACUGGGCGUAAAGCGAGUGUAGGCGGUUGCCGUAGUCAGGUGUGAAAGCCUUGAGCUCAACUCAAGAAAUGCACUUGAUACUGGGUGACUAGAGGACCGGAGAGGAUAGUGGAAUUCCCAGUGUAGUGGUGAAAUACGUAGAGAUUGGGAAGAACACCAGUGGCGAAGGCGGCUAUCUGGACGGUUACUGACGCUAAGACUCGAAAGCGUGGGGAGCAAACAGGAUUAGAUACCCUGGUAGUCCACGCCGUAAAACGAUGGGUGCUAGACGUUGGCGAGCUUGCUCGUCAGUGUCGCAGCUAAACGCGUUAAGCACCCCCGCCUGGGGAGUACGG